rnacentral:rRNA from 1 species
UGCAGAAUCCCGCGAACCAUCGAGUCUUUGAACGCAAGUUGCGCCCGAGGCCACUUGGCCGAGGGCACGCCUGCCUGGGCGUCACGUAAAACACGCUUCCACCCCAAAACUCUGGGGCGGGACGCGGCAUGUGGCUCCCCGUCUCGCAAGGGGCGGUGGGCCGAAGUUCCGGCUGCCGGCUUAACUUGCCGGACACAGCGCGUGGUAGGCGAUCUCGCUAUACUAAACGCAGUGCAUCCGACACUUGGCCGACAUGAUUGCCUCAAUAGACCCUAGUAACGGAGCGUAGGACGCUUUGACCGCGACCCCAGGUCAGACGGGACCACCCGCUGAAUUUAAGCAUAUAAAUAAGCGGAGGAGAAGAAACUUACAAGGAUUCCCCUAGUAACGGCGAGCGAACCGGGAACAGCCCAGCUUGAGAAUCGGGCGGCUAUGC